rnacentral:rRNA from 1 species
UGGGGAUAUUGCACAAUGGGCGAAAGCCUGAUGCAGCGACGCCGCGUGGGGGAUGAAGGCCUUCGGGUUGUAAACUUCUUUUGCUCUGAACAAGGCAUGCCUUUGGGGUGUGUUGAGUGUAGGGGUUGAUUAGCGCCGGCUAACUACGUGCCAGCAGCCGCGGUAAUACGUAGGGCGCGAGCGUUGUCCGGAAUUAUUGGGCGUAAAGGGCUUGUAGGUGGCUGGCUGCGUCUGUCGUGAAAGCUCAUGGCUUAACUGUGGGUUUGCGGUGGGUACGGGCUGGCUUGAGUGCAGUAGGGGAGGCUGGAAUUCCUGGUGUAGCGGUGGAAUGCGCAGAUAUCAGGAGGAAUACCGGUGGCGAAGGCGGGUCUCUGGGCUGUUACUGACGCUGAGGAGCGAAAGCGUGGGGAGCGAACAGG